AGGAUGAACGCUGGCGGUCUGCUUAACACAUGCAAGUCGAACGGAGUAGCAAUACUUAGUGGCGGACGGGUGAGUAACGCGUGAGAAUCUACCUUCAGGACGGAGACAACAGUUGGAAACGACUGCUAACCCCCGAUGUACUGAAAAGGCAAAUAUUUAUAGCCUGAAGAAGAGCUCGCGUCCGAUUAGCUAGUUGGAGAGGUAAAAGCUCACCAAGGCGACGAUCGGUAGCUGGUCUGAGAGGACGAUCAGCCACACUGGGACUGAGACACGGCCCAGACUCCUACGGGAGGCAGCAGUGGGGAAUUUUCCGCAAUGGGCGAAAGCCUGACGGAGCAAGACCGCGUGGGGGAAGAAGGCUCUUGGGGUUGUAAACCCCCUUUUCUCUGGGAAGAACACAAUGACGGUACCAGAGGAAUCAGCAUCGGCUAACUCCGUGCCAGCAGCCGC
rnacentral:rRNA from 1 species